CCUACGGGUGGCAGCAGGGAGGAAUAUUGGGCAAUGGGCGCGAGCCUGAACCAGCCAAGUAGCGUGAAGGAUGACGGCCCGACGGGGUGUAAACUGCUGUUAUAAAGGAAGAAAGUGAGGCACGUGGGCCGUUUUGUAUGUACUUUAUGAAUAAGGAGAGGCUAACUCCGUGCCAGCAGCCGCGGUAAUACGGAGGAUCCGAGCGGUAUCCGGAUUUAUUGGGUUUAAAGGGAGCGUAGAUGGGUUGGUAAGUCAGUGGUGAAAGGUUGCGGCUCAACCGUCAAAUUGCACUUGUUACUGGCAGUCUUGCGUACAGUUGAGGUAGGCGGCAUUC
rnacentral:rRNA from 1 species